AGUGAACGCUGGCGGUAGGCCUAACACAUGCAAGUCGAACGGCAGCACAGUAAGAGCUUGCUCUUACGGGUGGCGAGUGGCGGACGGGUGAGGAAUACAUCGGAAUCUACUUUUUCGUGGGGGAUAACGUAGGGAAACUUACGCUAAUACCGCAUACGACCUACGGGUGAAAGCAGGGGAUCUUCGGACCUUGCGCGAUUGAAUGAGCCGAUGUCGGAUUAGCUAGUUGGCGGGGUAAAGGCCCACCAAGGCGACGAUCCGUAGCUGGUCUGAGAGGAUGAUCAGCCACACUGGAAUUGAGACACGGUCCAGACUCCUACGGGAGGCAGCAGUGGGGAAUAUUGGACAAUGGGCGCAAGCCUGAUCCAGCCAUACCGCGUGGGUGAAGAAGGCCUUCGGGUUGUAAAGCCCUUCUGUUGGGAAAGAAAAGCAGCAGGUUAAUACCCCGCUGUUCUGACGGUACCCAAAGAAUAAGCACCGGCUAACUUCGUG
rnacentral:rRNA from 1 species